CGAAGGCGCAGCUACACAUGCAGUCGAGCGCACCUUCGGGUGAGCGGCGGACGGGUUAGUAACGCGUGAGAAUAUGCCCCUCUCUGCGGAAUAGCCACUGGAAACGGUGAGUAAUACCGCAUACGCCCUUCGGGGGAAAGAUUUAUCGGAGAGGGAUUAGCCCGCGUUAGAUUAGGUAGUUGGUGGGGUAAUGGCCUACCAAGCCUACGAUCUAUAGCUGGUUUUAGAGGAUGAUCAGCAACACUGGGACUGAGACACGGCCCAGACUCCUACGGGAGGCAGCAGUGGGGAAUCUUAGACAAUGGGGGAAACCCUGAUCUAGCCAUGCCGCGUGAGUGAUGAAGGCCCCAGGGUCGUAAAGCUCUUUCGCCAGGGAUGAUAAUGACAGUACCUGGUAAAGAAACCCCGGCUAACUCCGUGCCAGCAGCCGCGGUAAUACGGAGGGGGUUAGCGUUGUUCGGAAUUACUGGGCGUAAAGCGCACGUAGGCGGACUAUUAAGUCAGAGGUGAAAUCCCAGGGCUCAACCCUGGAACUGCCUUUGAUACUGGUAGUCUUGAGUUCGAGAGAGGUGAGUGGAAUUCCGAGUGUAGAGGUGAAAUUCGUAGAUAUUCGGAGGAACACCAGUGGCGAAGGCGGCUCACUGGCUCGAUACUGACGCUGAGGUGCGAAAGUGUGGGGAGCAAACAGGAUUAGAUACCCUGGUAGUCCACACCGUAAACGAUGAAUGCCAGUCGUCGGGUAGUAUACUAUUCGGUGACACACCUAACGGAUUAAGCAUUCCGCCUGGGGAGUACGGUCGCAAGAUUAAAACUCAAAGGA
rnacentral:rRNA from 1 species